CUACUCCCCACGUGGUGAUUAUUGGAAAAGUUGGGAGGGGGAGGAAAAUAUUUUAGUCUAAGUGUAAGGGGUGUUGUGCUGCGAGAACACAGAGUGGUACAGGGCAUUCUCCUAAAGCGAUCCUCGCUCUCAGACUGCAGUGAUUUCCAGCAGGGCUGGAUGGGAAGGGAACGGCGGGCUCUGUAGUAACCAGCAUGUCUGGUCUCAACACGUCAGGCAAGAGGCUCGGGAUGUAGAGGAGUCACGUCUGAAAGGCAGACUGAGGUGCUCUCGGUAACUUCAGACUUCGGAGCCGUCCCCCCCUCGGAAACCACGGUCAGCAUCGUGCUCUGUGGAAAAGCCUGCAGUGGUUUAUCACCGGUGGUGGUUCUGCCCUAGACUCUCCGUCUACACAGUGAGCUGACGGUGACGGCGCUGGAGGGCAGGGGCGGAUGGAGUGGGGAUGUAUAGGGAGAGGCGAUCAACACGUGCCAUGGGCUCUCCACAGCAGAAAUAGCCCUGCAUGUGUGGAGAAAUAGACUGCGGAACAGCGUUUUUGCUUCAUGGCCACCAACUCUUCUGCAAAAAGAGAAGCUCACGCGGAGGUGGAGGCCAAGGUGUGUGCGGCUGCCGCCUGGACAUCUGUGCGAUCGACGCCGACGUUGGAAGAGUCGUAGAGUGUGGUAUGUUGACACAAACGGGGCCUUGUACUUUUGUUAGGAAUGCAGGGAACGUUACCUGAAAACAAGCG
ensembl:lncRNA